AGCAGCUAGCAAAUAGAUGCAGCAAGGCUCUGCCCUCUUCCAGCAAGGAAGACUGCACUCUGUCUCCAGAAGGGGAGUAAAACAGCAAGGGGCUGACUGAGAGAAGGAUCAGCCAGACCCUGCAUGACUGGGAAGGCUUUUACUUUGCCCAAGCCUGUGUCUCCAAGGCAAAAAGGGACUGAGCCAGCUGAGGAGAAGCAGGUACUUUGCCACACUGGUUGCCUUGAGAGACUAGGCACUGCUGUCUAUCCUGCAUCAGGAGUAUGCCCUGUUCCCCCUCAGUGUUGACCUGCUGGUACAGACUGGACAGUCACCAAAAGCUCAUGAUGAUGUCACACUCACUAUUAGAAUUUGCAUGGAAUUGUUCUGCUAUGUGACUUGGAUAAGCCUGGACUUUGAAGGUCCAUCCCCUCCACUCCUGCAGGAUCAACUCCUGAUGGCUCUUUUCUUCUGCAGAAAGCCAGGAUUUUAAGGAAUGGACAAUCCCCAGAAGGCAAAGAAACAUGUGUGUCAGAGCUGGGAUUUAAAGGCUGAGAAGUUGAGGAGUGACUCACAGAAGGUGUCACAGAGGGACACAAAAGGACAGGUUUCCUUAGCAAGAGGGAACUAUUAUGUGUGGUAGAUCAGCUGAAGGACACUGACUGCAGGCGUCAAAGAAAGAUACUCCAUGAUUUGGAGGAGAAAUCAUGAGCUGGAGGAGUGCAGUCCAGAAGAGGAGACUUGGAACCCUGAAAGGACAUUGAUCCAAAUCCCAAAGAACACUGAGACAAGGAAUGACAUAGAUGUUUAUUAUUUUACCUAUAUCUGUAUAUCUCAUGUGCCAUCUAAAGUAAACAGUGAUUGUUUUUGAAAUCCUU